rnacentral:rRNA from 1 species
GAGUUUGAUUCUGGCUCAGGAUGAACGCUGGCGGCGUGCUUAACACAUGCAAGUCGAACGAACGACUAUUAACAGAACCUUUCGGGGCGAAGAUGAUAGAAGUUAGUGGCGGACGGGUGCGUAACGCGUGGGUAAUCUGCCUUUGUCAAAGGAAUAACUAUUCGAAAGAAUAGCUAAAACCGUAUAAAAUAUUAAUAGGGCAUCCUAAUAAUAUCAAAACGAUAGUGGACAAAGAUGAGCCCGCGUCUGAUUAGCUAGUUGGUGAGAUAAAAGCCCACCAAGGCAACGAUCAGUAGCCGACCUGAGAGGGUGAACGGCCACAUUGGAACUGAGACACGGUCCAAACUCCUACGGGAGGCAGCAGUGGGGAAUAUUGCACAAUGGGGGGAACCCUGAUGCAGCAACGCCGCGUGAGUGAAGAAGGCAUUCGGGUCGUAAAAACUCUGU